rnacentral:rRNA from 1 species
UACGAGAGGCCCAAACGUUAUUCGGAAUUACUGGGCUUAAAGAGUUCGUAGGCGGUGCAGAAAGUAGGGUGUGAAAGCCCUCGGCUUAACCGAGGAAUUGCGCUCUAAACUACUGUGCUCGAGGAACCUAGAGGUGAGCAGAACUGAUGGUGGAGCGGUGAAAUGCGUUGAUAUCAUCAGGAAUACCGGAGGCGAAGGCGGCUCACUGGGGGUUUUCUGACGCUGAGGAACGAAAGCCAGGGGAGCGAACGGG